AGUAGCGAUGACCAGGGAUGUUCUCUGUUUAGUGAGUCCUCCAGAUCAGAGGUAGUAGGGAUGACCAGGGAUGUUCUCUGUUUAGUGAGUCCUCCAGAUCAGAGGCAGUAGGGAUGACCAGGGAUGUUCUCUGUUUAGUGAGUCCUCCAGAUCAGAGGCAGUAGGGAUGACCAGGGAUGUUCUCUGUUUAGUGAGUCCUCCAGAUCAGAGGUAGUAGGGAUGACCAGGGAUGUUCUCUGUUUAGUGAGUCCUCCAGAUCAGAGGCAGUAGGGAUGACCAGGGAUGUUCUCUGUUUAGUGAGUCCUCCAGAUCAGAG
rnacentral:lncRNA from 1 species